rnacentral:lncRNA from 1 species
GGGUGGGAGAGCAGAGGAGAAACGUGUAAUCACCCAAACAACCAUUUUCUACCCAUUUCACCCCCUCUGGAUCUGUGUCGCAAGUCUGCCGUGAGCUUAUCUGUCUUCCACUGCGGAUACCGUAAAGAGAGGCCGGACCGUGAGGAAGACACCAAUAGGAAGAAGAGGAAAAUCAGAUGCCCGGGAGGACAGCAAAUCGCGUGCCAAAAACACAUUACUCCUGAAGACCAAUUUGCACGUCGCUUUGCUGCAUCGCUGGACGGCCAUCACUCCUACCUUUGUCUGGAUUUCUUAUCAUUACAUUCCUCCAUCGCUGCUUAAGGC